rnacentral:tRNA from 1 species
GCCUGGGUAGCUCAGUCAGUUGAGUGUCUGACUUUGGCUCAGGUCAUGGUCUUGUGGUUGUGGGUUCGAGUCCCAAAUCAGGCU